rnacentral:rRNA from 1 species
CCUACGGGUGGCAGCAGUGGGGAAUAUUGCACAAUGGGGGAAACCCUGAUGCAGCGACGCCGCGUGAGUGAAGAAGUAACUCGUUAUGUAAAGCUCUAUCAGCAGGGAAGAAAAUGACGUUACCUGUGUAAGAAGCACCGGCUAACUACGUGCCAGCAACGGCGGGAAUACGUCGGGGGCAGGCGUUAUCCGGAUUUACUGGGUGUAAAGGGGGCGUAGACGGCAGUGCAAGUCUGGAGUGAAAGGCGGGGGCUCAACCCCCGGACUGCCCUGGAAACUGUACGGCUUGAGUGCAGGAGAGGUAAGUGGAAUUCGUAGUGUAGCGGUGAAAUGCGUAGAUAUUAGGAGGAACACCAGUGGCGAAGGCGGCUUGCUGGA